rnacentral:lncRNA from 1 species
UUAAUUUGAAGAAGGGGAAGACCAUUCCAAGCCCAACACUCAGACCAAAACCAAGCUCAAUUAGCGUAAUCCCUAAAAUUCUACACCCAUCCUUUUUUCUGCUCAAACAGUCGCCCAUCCUCUUCCUUCCUUCUUUGAGCAAAAUUCAAAACUCCUCCAUCUCCAAGUCAAAAUUUAUUUCACCAUUUUCAGCAAAAGUCUUCAUUCUCUCUCUUGCAUAUUCAAUGAAAAGCCGAAAAUUUUGCCAUCGAAAUUGACCAAAUUGCUGCAAGAGGACGAUUUUGUUGAUCUUCUUUCUGUCACAUUUUGGGCGGAUCUUGAACGGGCAUUUUAAAUUUCAAACGGGUCUUUCAAUUCUCGCUUCCAAAAUCCUAGUUUUUCACCUAUAAAUACAUCCUAAAGUCUCAGCCAAGGGACAUUCAGAAAAGGUCGAAAAAACCAUAUUUAUACUUCUAAUUUUGUUGUACUCUAUCUCUCUUUCAAGCUUCAAUUCGAAAUCCAAAAGAGUAGAUCUGAAACCUCAAAGUCCUUCCUUCACUGCCCCCCACAAGGUCAGUAAUUUUCUUAUUUUGGUUUAUUUUGAUUCUGAAAUUUAGAACGUAUUCAUGUUUUUAUACAUGUUGUAAAAUAGUUAUUAAUUUUCUUCCAUUUCUUAUUUUAGAUGUCAUAAAAUAAUUCUCAACAUACCUUUGUUUUUUUUCCGCUACUGUUCGGGUUCAAAUCAUCAUUCUCUUUAUAUUAGUUUAGUAAGAAAUCAUGUGCUAGGCUCUUUCUCUUAUUUUUUGUAUGAAAUACGUAUUUACUGGGUAUGUGAUAGAUUGAAGCUCUGCUGGAAAGUGUUUAACAUGUUGACUUGCCUAACUUUACCACUAGUUCACUUCUUUUUAUCGUCUAUAGGAAAAGUUAAUGUGUGUCAAUUGUUAUUUGUUCAUGUAAGUCCAGAAAUUAGCGAUAUUAGUAUUUGAGUUCAUGACUUAGGACCUUUUCAUAUCUUGGAUAUUACAAACUCAAGUAUGUAAUUUUGGGUUGGGUUUUGAAUAUUAACUCAUGCCAAAAGAUCGAGUUCUAUUCUGUUAAAGUGAUAUGCUCGAACGGGUUGACUGCUCAUGCAUUUAAACUACAAAUUUAGUCUGCCUCAUAAAGAGUUGUAAUAGAUAUAUUUGCAAAAGUAAGAAAAUAUUUCUGUAAGUUUCUGCUGUCACCUUAUGUUCUUUUAAUUUAAAGUGCAAAUAGAUUGUUUGUAAGUAUUUCUCAUCCGCACUGCUCGAAUCAGUAAUGGCAGCGGGCUUCUCAUUUAGCAGAGCCAAGUCAAGAUCCAUCACACCUAAGUGGAACUGGACUUGUUCACGCCAUUCAGAGAAGUUCAAUCCGUUGAAUACAGUAACAGACAAAGCAAGCGAAUGAAAAGGAAUAGCUGCAAAAUAGAUAAUACAUGCUCACAAAUCAAUAUGGAUUCAAUAAAACAGUUAAAGCAUAUCACAAUUCUCUUUUGGGUAAAUACUACGACACACUAUCAUAAUUUAAGUGCCAUUUAGUCUUUAAUAGGUAAUUAAAUAUUUUUAACCAAAUAUAUAUGCCAUCUUUGGACAAACAAUAUAGAUUUGACUAAAGAAUAUUAAUUUUACCUCAUCAUAUUCACUAUUCAUAGAAUAAUUGAUUCACCUUUGAGUAAAUCUUUAAGUUCUAGCAAUCGUGAAAAUUAAUUUAUUCACUAAUUUUUAAUUAUUGGUAUUUCAUUAAUUUCAUGGAUAAAUUAUAAUUUUAUGUAUGCAUAUUUUUCAUGAACAUAUUAGUUUGGCCACUUUGAUGACUAACAAACUAUAUAAAUAUAAAUGCACACAUAAAAUAAAUAUCUGAAGAUUUUAUGCAUGUGAAUACUUUAAACAAUCUAGUUUGAUCAAUUUGGUGACUAACAAACUAUAUAAUUUUAAGCACAUAUAUAAAUAAUCAAUGGCCCUAAUUUUAAAAUAGUAGCCUAAAGAAACAAACAUAAUUUCAUGACCACAAUUAUAAAAUAGGGACAUAAUGGGAUAACUUAGUACAACAUAAUCCCUAUACGGCACUGCAAAUUCAUUUCGUGCGGUGCCGCUUUUUCAAUCAUCAAACUAGUAUGUAGAUUCUUCAUUAUUUAAUAUUACUGCUGUUUAUUCCAAUAAAUAUUUAUAUCAUGAUAUACUAUUCUGACACAUAUAAUCAUUGUGGUUGAAUACAGGAAAAUAGAAUUGUAUUCAUAAAUUGCAGACAGAAGCACAUAUUCAUAAUUAUCAACCCACAAAGCUAUAUUACUCUUUGUAUUUAACCAUUCAAUAUGUACAUAAAUUAAUGGUUCAUCUUGGUAUUAGAGGAUGAGAGGCAGAACCCAUUAAACUAAAGAUUCCCUAAAUUUUUUUUUGAUUACAAGGUCACGGUCAGAGACCUCAUUAACUCUUAAAACAUACAGAGAAGGAAAAUACUUUUACUACAUUCAUUCGGUCAGAUUUUUUUCUUUCCGUAUGUUUUCAAAUUAAUCUCUUCAAUCGAAGAUUAUCAGCAAAUAUCCAUGUUCAUGAUACCACAUGUAAGUAUAAACUUUAAUUCACACCAGGAUCUUGAACAUGAUAAUCUUACACAAAAUCGUUACAGAAAACAUACUUGAAGCGGAAUCCAUUAUCUUGAAGCGGAAGCGUNNNNNNNNNNNNNNNNNNNNNNNNNUCAUUGUGGUUGAACACAGGAAAAUAGAAUUGUAUUCAUAAAUUGCAGACAGAAGCACAUAUUCAUAAUUAUCAACCCACAAAGCUAUAUUACUCUUUGUAUUUAACCAUUCAAUAUGUACAUAAAUUAAUGGUUCAUCUUGGUAUUAGAGGAUGAGAGGCAGAACUCAUUAAACUAAAGAUUCCCUCAAAUUUUUUUGAUUACAAGGUCACGGUCUGAGACCUCAUUAACUCUUAAAACAUACAGAAGGAAAAUACUUUUACUACAUUCAUUCGGUCAGAUUUUUUUUUCCAUAUGUUUUCAAAUUAAUCUCUUCAAUCGAAGAUUAUCAGUUCAAAUAUCCAUGUUCAUGAUACCAUAUGUAAGUAUAAACUUUAAUUCACACCAGAAUCUUGAACAUGAUAAUCUUAAGCAAAAUCGUUACAGAAAACAUACAUGAUGCGGAAUCCAUUAUCUUGAAGCGGAAGCGUUAAUCGGUAAUUGGUUUCUCGCCCCUUGCCCUAACUUUACGUUACCACCGACUUUAGUGAUGGAAGAGAGAAUAAAAAUACGGUAACCCUAAUGGGUGGGGAGAUGACCAAUUUAUAGAGGUUCUCAUUUAAUCUGGUACGUCCAUUAAAUAACCAAUCGAACGGAUGAGAUUUGAUAAUUAAUCUAAUAUUAAUUAUGGGCAUUAACCUAUUGGGCCACAUACACCUAGUAAAAUAACUUACAUUUCCCUCCAAUAAAACAUUAUAGGGGAAUUUUAAAUAUCCAUUUUUUAAAGAAGACACUUGUGUUUUUAAAUAUCAGUUUUGAACUUUAAACUUCAGACCAGGCGGCCACUUCUGAAUUUCAAACUGCUGGACUAAUUGUGAAAAGGUGGUCAACUUCUAAAUACAACACCAGAAACGGGGCCACCUGGUGUAAAUGAAGCUCAAGAAUCAAGAUAGUGUUUAUAAACUCACUAGUGCGAUGAUUAUAACUUCUUCUAAGUACGCUAAAUACAAAAAAGUAAAAAUGACAAAUAUAUAAGAUAAGAUAUACAUAUGAAUUAUUUUAAAAGAGAAGAUACAAGGAAAAAAUACAUAUGAAAAAUAAAUUGAAAUCGAACAUCCCAUACUUUUUUACUCCAUAGUGAUGUGUUCUCUCGUGUUCUCAAUUGGAAAAGAGAAAUUGUGGUUUAUAGUUUUUGAACAUUUUCAGAGUCUAUCUCAAGUUUACUAUUUCCCUUUAAUUCAUGUUUCUAAUAUUUUUAGUGAAAAUAUGUAUAAGAUUUAGGUUAUAUUUAUUGCACGAAAUAACAAAAGGAACAUUAAAAGCAUUAAAAAAUCGUCUAUAACUCAUCUUUGAAAACUUAGUUACAGAUUUAAUUAAUUAAUAAAAGUGAAAUAUAUUGGCUUUCGUUGAACUCAAUUUGUGUUUAUGUGCAUACACACAUAUAUAUAAGGAAAAUCUCUCAUCACUUCACACAACAUUACCUGCAUGCAGUGUACACCAAGCACUACCAAAAGAAAAUGUUGUUUCUUCCUCUUUUAAUAAUAUAUUUGUAAGCUGUUUUUGCUCGAGGAAUUCUUUAAUCAACUCAAGCACUCUCCACAACUUUGUCAAGUAGUUUACAACUGGAUAAUCCGAAAGUACAAAUGUCCUUUCUUUUGACAUUUUCCAUUUCAUUUAGAAAAAUUAUGUCUUACAUGUCCAAUGGUUUAAUAAAUAGGCUCAGUUAUCCAAUAAAGGGAGAAAGUGAUAAACGAUAAAGACACUACAAGAUAGCUAUUAAAAGAGGGAAUCGUUGAUGACCUGGGGAAAGAGUAGCAGACCUGUAAACUCAGUCAGAGACAAUUAUGAAACAAAAACACAUUAGAGAAUACGAAUUGCUAAUUUCGGAGGAACCAUUUGAAUAUGACUAGAUCUAGGUGUGAACCAGGAGCUUGCCAUUGUGGACAGAGAAUGGAUAUGCCAAUUACUACUUUUCUGUGGAUGAUUCAAAAGCCAGCAUGUAAAUAAGCAUGGUUGGUAGCAGAGAAAGAGUACAUUCCAAUACUUCUAAAAACAACACCAAUAAGGACAAUAACCACAUAUAUAAUGUCGUUAUCAUAAUUUAUAGAUACCUUAGUUGCUGAGUAUGUCGUUAUUGAGCUUUGAAACUUAAAAAUAAAUAAAUUUAAGAACGU